AACCUGGCUUGGGGGGAACAAACUGUGAAUCCAUAUGUCCCUAAAUUCCAAAGGCACUCUUCCCUCCUCAUGUGAAGGAGAUAUGAUCAGUUCCGAUUCAUACACGGGAAAAUUGGGGCUUGGAGGUUAAGUAGUUUGCCCAAGGACACGGGUGAGUGGCAGAGCAGAACUCAAAUCGGAGUCUGUGCGAUUCUGAAACUCUCACCAGAGUGUGCUGUCCCACCUCUGUGCUUCUGAGAAUGUUCAAAGUCUAAAUGUUCCACAGAUCUGCCUGGUCAUCACUCUUCCCCUCAGCCAGCCAUGUGAUCAUAAACGUUCCUAUGAUAUGGGGUCGGCUCUCAAUUAGGGGAUGUAGUUGUUAGUUCCAGUUCCCAGCUGGCAAAACAACGGAGAACACGCUGGGAAAUGUGGGGAGUUUCCUACAGAUGGUCUCAGAAGAAGCUUUCAUAGAAACAUUCGUACUUUCGGAUAGUGGAGGAACCCUGUACUCAAAGCAAUCUCAUGAGGUGCAUAAUUGGCCAAGUGCUCCAGGGGUUCUAAAGACUGCCUUCCUGUAGUCGGAAUAGACACAUUUAGCCUCUUACUGAAAUUGAAGGCUGCAACGCCGAUAACAAAUCUGAUUCUAACUCUCCCAUGUCACCGCAGCCCAAAGGUGCCUUUGUCUCCUAGGAGAAAGAGGUUGGAGGCAGGAGACACUGCUAAUUAUGGGAGCAAUUCCCAUGGAUACAGAGAAGAAUUGUCUAAGCUGGGGAGUCAAAGCUCUGAUCGAGAGGGUGCUGAGAGGAAAAAUGCCCCCAACAUUCUCAGAGGAAAUUCCAGAGUUGUCUAGGGACAUGCCUUCUCUGCAGGAAUGCCCCAUAUAUCUGGCAUUUGAAGAUCUGGAAACAGGUUUUCCUUUACCUUCCUAACUCAUGCACUAAGGAUCCCUGUAUUUGAGAAAUGGAAUUUAAAAAGUGGUCUCUUUUAUUCAAACAUUAUCUGAUAAGGUUAUUUUGAAACAAACAAACAAAACCAAAAACCAAAACCCAGGUUUUACCCAGAGUGAUUCUCACAAAUGACAGUACCUGAAAAGAGGCAGACUGGGCCAUGGGGGCACCAAAUGGCACGAGCACUUGAAACCUGUUGUCUUAUCCUUGGCAAAGAUACCACCUGAUCCAUUCUGCUGUAUGUAAAGCAAGCUGUGUCAAAACUUACCUUUCUUGUGACACAAAAUCUACAUUCGCAAAUGAGCUUCUCCAACAUCAGUUUGAAUUUAUAUUC